CCGCUGCUUGUUACUAGGCUCCGCGGGAGGCAGAAUGGCGCAAGCGAGCAGGCGAGUGCUCGAAUGGAUCUAUUUUCUGAUUCUUCUCACCGCUGUAUUGCUUUCAUGGGGAUAUGUCAUUUAUGCAACACGACUGGCUGCCCAGUGGCAGCUGGAGGAGGACUACCCCAUGCAGACCCAUAAUAUUUGAGAAAGACUGAAGCAGGGAGAGACUGCAGAAGUUCAGACACUUUAAAAGUACUCUUACCGUCAUGGAUACUAACACACUGUAAAGAAAAUCUAUGUUCAACUGUUCAAGAAACUGCUGAAAUUUCAGAAGUAGGAGAGAGAUCUUGUAUAAAGAUGCGAUAUUCUCGCUCCUGUCAACUGAAAUGGAACACUUUAAACUGUACACCAGCAGACUCCAUGAAGAUAGUUUUCAAGUCCUGUACACUCCACUGAGGAUUAUGCUGGUACAGGCCAGAGGAAUCAGGCACAAUGCAACCUCAAAGAAUCACCAAGAACAACCUCCACCAAACUUUGUGCAUCUGUGUUGGUGGUUUAAAUGGCAAAACUGAACACUUUUGACUUGAACAGAUCAUCCACUGAUUUCAUGUAUAAAAAUGACAUACCAUUUUGUAAUCUUACUAUAAAAAUUACUAUUUGUAAGC